rnacentral:rRNA from 1 species
UACAGAGGUCCCAAGCGUUGUUCGGAUUCACUGGGCGUAAAGGGUGCGUAGGUGGCGAGGUAAGUCGGAUGUGAAAGCUCGGAGCUCAACUCCGAAAUGGCAUUGGAAACUACCUUGCUCGAGGGUUGGAGGGGGGACUGGAAUUCUCGGUGUAGCAGUGAAAUGCGUAGAUAUCGAGAGGAACACCAGUGGCGAAGGCGAGUCCCUGGACAGUUCCUGACGCUGAGGCACGAAGGCCAGGGGAGCAAACGGG